rnacentral:rRNA from 1 species
CCUACGGGGUGCAGCAGUGGGGAAUAUUGGACAAUGGGCGAAAGCCUGAUCCAGCCAUGCCGCGUGUGUGAAGAAGGCCUUCGGGUUGUAAAGCACUUUCAGUGGGGAAGAAAGCCUUGGGGCUAAUACCCUCGAGGAAGGACAUCACCCACAGAAGAAGCACCGGCUAACUCCGUGCCAGCAGCCGCGGUAAUACGGAGGGUGCGAGCGUUAAUCGGAAUUACUGGGCGGAAAGCGCGCGUAGGCGGUCUGAUAAGCCGGUUGUGAAAGCCCCGGGCUCAACCUGGGAACGGCAUCCGGAACUGUCAGGCUAGAGUGCAGGAGAGGAAGGUAGAAUUCCCGGUGUAGCGGUGAAAUGCGUAGAGAUCGGGAGGAAUACCAGUGGCGAAGGCGGCCUUCUGGACUGACACUGACGCUGAGGUGCGAAAGCGUGGGUAGCAAACAGGAUUAGAUACCCUGGUAGUC